rnacentral:lncRNA from 1 species
UAUAGGCUAUACAUCAAAACGAAAAGUCUAACCAAUAAAAUCAUGAGUAUAUUUUUAAUAACAUAAAUAAAGCAUAAAUUUGUUUGAGCCUUCCACUAAUGAAACUUAUCUUGAGAUCCAAUUGCUAUUAUAUAAUAAUUGACUCUUUUUCAGAAAAAAGAUAUCACUAAAAUCUUUUAAUAAAUCAUUAAUACACACACACACACACACACA